CAGGGAGACAACAAAAUGUUUAAUAUUAUUAUUUUGUCACCUUAGGUCGAUCGGUAUCUCACGUUUUUAAUUUAUUAAAAAUUUCAUUUCUUAAGUUUUUCUAGGUCACACCCAUUAUUUUUCCUGGGCCAUUAGCUCAGGUGGUUAGAGCGCACCCCUGAUAAGGGUGAGGUCCCUGGUUCAAGUCCAGGAUGGCCCAUAUCUCUAUGUUGGGGGUAUAGCUCAGUUGGUAGAGCGCCUGCUUUGCAAGCAGGAUGUCAGCGGUUCGAGUCCGCUUACCUCCACUGAUUACCACCUCUUCCAUAAUCUUUAGAAAGGAAAUGUUUUGAGUUGUGAUCAAAUUCUGAACGAAUCUAGCUUCCUAAUGUAACCAUUAAGAUGCUGGACUCAUUGAAUUAAUUUCAUUGUUUUCAGAGAACCUUGACAACUGCAUAGAUUAUUUUUAAAGACAAUAAGCAUCUUUGAUGAUGCAGAUUUAUUAUUUGUGCGAAUGCAUUAAUAACAAUUCUAUUAAGCUGAUGCUUCAAUUUUGAAGUUAUU
rnacentral:tRNA from 1 species